rnacentral:sRNA from 1 species
GCCAGGUGUGGUGGUGCACACCUGUAAUCCCAGCGGCUUGGAGCGCUGAGACUGGAGGAUUGUGAGUUCAAAGCCAGCCUCAGCAAAAGCAAGGUGCUAAGCAGCUCUGUGAGACCCUGUCUCUA